UGAGCCUGCCAGGAUUCGAACCUGGAAUCUUCUGAUCCCUAGUCAGAAAUGUUGCACCAAGUGCCCACGAUACACACCA